rnacentral:rRNA from 1 species
UACGUAGGGUGCAAGCGUUGUCCGGAAUUAUUGGGCGUAAAGAGCUUGUAGGCGGUUUGUCGCGUCUGCUGUGAAAUUUCGGGGCUCAACCCCGAACUUGCAGUGGGUACGGGCAGACUAGAGUGUGGUAGGGGAGACUGGAAUUCCAGGUGGAGCGGUGAAAUGCGCAGAUAUCAGGAGGAACACCGGUGGCGAAGGCGGGUCUCUGGGCAACAACUGACGCUGAGGAGCGAAAGCGUGGGGAGCGAACAGG